AUUGAACGCUGGCGGAAUGCUUUACACAUGCAAGUCGAGCGGCAGCGCGGGGCAACCUGGCGGCGAGCGGCGAACGGGUGAGUAACAUAUCGGAACGUACCCAGUCGUGGGGGAUAACUAUCCGAAAGGAUAGCUAAUACCGCAUACGACCUGAGGGUGAGAGCGGGGGACCGAAAGGCCUCGCGCGAUUGGAGCGGCCGAUAUCGGAUUAGCUAGUUGGUGAGGUAAAGGCUCACCAAGGCGACGAUCCGUAGCUGGUCUGAGAGGACGACCAGCCACACUGGAACUGAGACACGGUCCCGACUCCUACGGGGGGCAGCAGUGAGGAAUAUUCGGCAAUGGGGGCAACCCUGACCGAGCAACGCCGCGUGGAGGAUGACGGUUUUCGGAUUGUAAACUCCUUUUCUCAGGGAAGAGCGAGGACGGUACCUGGGGAAUAAGUCACGGCUAACUACGUGCCAGCAGCCGCGGUAAGGUGACGCUCU
rnacentral:rRNA from 1 species